rfam:Stegodyphus mimosarum contig104026, whole genome shotgun sequence.
GCCUUCGUGGUGUAAUGGUCAGCACACUGAGCCGGUAUUUCAGAGGUCCGCGGUUCGAUUCCCAGCGAAGGCG